rnacentral:rRNA from 1 species
GGUGAACGCUGGCGGCGUGCCUUACACAUGCAAGUCGAGCGAAGCUGCUGGUGGAAUCCUUUCGGGGAGGAAGCCAGUAGACUGAGCGGCGGACGGGUGAGUAACGCGUAGGUGACCUACCCCUCAGAGGGGGAUAACUGGGGGAAACCUCAGCUAAUACCCCAUACGUUCCUACCUAUAAGCAGGUAGGAAGAAAGGGAGCAAUAGCUCUGCUGAGGGAGGGGCCUGCGACCCAUCAGGUAGUUGGUGAGGUAACGGCUCACCAAGCCUACGACGGGUAGCCGGUCUGAGAGGAUGGCCGGCCACAAGGGCACUGAGACACGGGUCCUACUCCUACGGGAGGCAGCAGUGGGGGAUUUUGGACAAUGGGCGAAAGCCUGAUCCAGCGACGCCGCGUGCGGGACGAAGCCCUUCGGGGUGUAAACCGCUGUGGUGGGAGACGAAUAAGGUGAGGAGUGGAAAGCCUCACUGAUGACGGUAUCCCACUAGAAAGCCCCGGCUAACUACGUG